rnacentral:misc_RNA from 1 species
ACAAAAUGAAAAAGAAAGAAAAACUCUGAUAAUCUUCCCAUCAUUCCUCACCAGUGCGCAUCCUCUGAUUCCACCCUUUCCCUUGACCUAUGCGCAGUGAUAUAUAUUCCCCCAGUAAACCCAAGAAACAUCCCUGCAAUUGAUCACCGUAUACAUCCUCAGCAUUUGCAAUCUCCAGCAACAGCAAAUUAAUUCCUGCUUUGUUCAACUUGUGUUGUUUACCAGCUGAUGGAAGCUCAAGACCCAUUAUCAAUUUCUUUCUUUCUUUCUCACAAAUAUGAUUCACUGUCCACAGAACUUAAGUGACAAACCUUUUUAUUUCCGUACUUCUUGUUGCUGCCUCCUCCACAAGUAAUCGAAAUCUCACAUCCG